GCGGCGAACGGGUGAGUAACACGUGAGCAACCUGCCCCAGGCUUUGGGAUAACCCCGGGAAACCGGGGCUAAUACCGAAUAUGACCUUGCACCGCAUGGUGUUUGGUGGAAAGUUUUUCGGCUUGGGAUGGGCUCGCGGCCUAUCAGCUUGUUGGUGGGGUGAUGGCCUACCAAGGCGACGACGGGUAGCCGGCCUGAGAGGGCGACCGGCCACACUGGGACUGAGACACGGCCCAGACUCCUACGGGAGGCAGCAGUGGGGAAUAUUGCACAAUGGGCGGAAGCCUGAUGCAGCGACGCCGCGUGAGGGAUGACGGCCUUCGGGUUGUAAACCUCUUUCAGCAGGGACGAAGCGUAAGUGACGGUACCUGCAGAAGAAGCGCCGGCCAACUACGUGCCAGCAGCCGCGGUAAGACGUAGGGCGCGAGCGUUGUCCGGAUUUAUUGGGCGUAAAGAGCUCGUAGGCGGCUUGUCGCGUCGACUGUGAAAACCCGCAGCUCAACUGCGGGCCUGCAGUCGAUACGGGCAGGCUAGAGUUCGGUAGGGGAGACUGGAAUUCCUGGUGUAGCGGUGAAAUGCGCAGAUAUCAGGAGGAACACCGGUGGCGAAGGCGGGUCUCUGGGCCGAUACUGACGCUGAGGAGCGAAAGCGUGGGGAGCGAACAGGAUUAGAUACCCUGGUAGUCCACGCUGUAAACGUUGGGCGCUAGGUGUGGGGGGCCUCUCCGGUUCCCUGUGCCGCAGCUAACGCAUUAAGCGCCCCGCCUGGGGAGUACGGCCGCAAGGCUAAAACUCAAAGGAAUUGACGGGGG
rnacentral:rRNA from 1 species